AGGAAAAAAAAAUUCAGAUUUCAAGCAUUGCUUUGAACAAUAAAAGUACAUCAAUGAUCCAGCAACGGAGGGAUCCAUAAAUACAUAGCUAGCUGCUUCAUAUAUCAUAAACUUGCUUGCCAGUGAACUUGACCUCAAUGGGACUAACGUUCUUUCCAAUGGAUCUGAAGUUCAGCCCAACUCCUUGGCGUCCUGGGUUCACUUUCUCAGGAUAAACUCCAUCUUUGGGGUGAAGAUACUGAACCUCUCCAUUAGGAAAUACCCUAUAAAACUGGUACUUAAUCUUGUACUUGGAUCGCAAUCUGGUACCAAGAGCCAAACACUGCUCCUUCCUGGCCAACUUGAGCAAGUUAGGCCCUUGCCUCAUAAUAGC
rnacentral:misc_RNA from 1 species